GACGAACGCUGGCGGCGCGCCUAACACAUGCAAGUCGAACGGAGUCAAGAGGAGCUUGCUUUUCUUGACUUAGUGGCGAACGGGUGAGUAACGCGUGAGUAACCUGCCCUGGAGUGGGGGACAACAGUUGGAAACGACUGCUAAUACCGCAUAAGCCCACGGAUCUGCAUGGAUCUGCGGGAAAAGGAUUUAUUCGCUCUAGGAUGGACUCGCGUCCAAUUAGCUAGUUGGUGAGGUAACGGCCCACCAAGGCGACGAUUGGUAGCCGAACUGAGAGGUUGAACGGCCACAUUGGGACUGAGACACGGCCCAGACUCCUACGGGAGGCAGCAGUGGGGGAUAUUGCACAAUGGGGGAAACCCUGAUGCAGCGACGCCGCGUGGAGGAAGAAGGUUUUCGGAUUGUAAACUCCUGUCGUGAGGGACGAUAAUGACGGUACCUAACAAGAAAGCACCAGCUAACUACGUG
rnacentral:rRNA from 1 species